AUCCAAGGUGAUUCCCUCUCCAAGGGGACAUCCAGUGCCUCUCUCAGGAAAGUAGCAACUUGGAAUAGAAUCUGGCAUGUCUAAGGUCUUUGGAGAACAGGGAUGCUUAUUUCCUCUCCUUUCCUUGGCUGCCUACAUGG
ensembl:snoRNA